rnacentral:rRNA from 1 species
UGGGGAAUUUUGGACAAUGGGCGAAAGCCUGAUCCAGCAAUGCCGCGUGUGUGAAGAAGGCCUUCGGGUUGUAAAGCACUUUUGUCCGGAAAGAAAUCCUUGGCCCUAAUACAGUCGGGGGAUGACGGUACCGGAAGAAUAAGCACCGGCUAACUACGUGCCAGCAGCCGCGGUAAUACGUAGGGUGCAAGCGUUAAUCGGAAUUACUGGGCGUAAAGCGUGCGCAGGCGGUUUGCUAAGACCGAUGUGAAAUCCCCGGGCUCAACCUGGGAACUGCAUUGGUGACUGGCAGGCUAGAGUAUGGCAGAGGGGGGUAGAAUUCCACGUGUAGCAGUGAAAUGCGUAGAGAUGUGGAGGAAUACCGAUGGCGAAGGCAGCCCCCUGGGCCAAUACUGACGCUCAUGCACGAAAGCGUGGGGAGCAAAACAGGAUUAGAUACCCUGGUAGUCCACGCCCUAAAACGAUGUCAACUAGUUGUUGGGGAUUCAUUUCCUUAGUAACGUAGCUAACGCGUGAAGUUGACCGCCUGGGGAGUACGGUCGCAAGAUUAAAACUCAAAUGAAUUGAC